rnacentral:lncRNA from 1 species
GUUUACAUUACAAUAUAUCAAAGUAAUAUAGGCUAAUGUAAUAAGCACAACAAGGUACUAAGCCAUCUUCAUCAACAACUCCGGGGGUGUACCUGUCUAAUUGCUGAUCUGAGAAUAUAAGUUAUUUGAAAAGCGAGUAUCAGCAUUUUUACAAAUGUUGGUGAGUUCAUAAGUAUUUAGUGUCAUUUAGUCAAAUAACAUUAUGAAGUAAUAGUUUAAGUGUUACAGUGCAUUAGAAUUCUUUCUAGAAAAUCCUAUAUUUUCUUUAAUAAAAGCAGCCUUCUACCAAGACUGGUUAGUGUUAUGUGGUAAAAAGUAGUUUUCCCUAAAUUUCUGUCAUUAUCAAAAUACUGAAUUUGGUUAUUGACGAAAGCAAAUGACAUCAGGGAAUAACAUAUGCCUCAGCAGUGAGGACUGUUNCAAAUGAAAGGCACAGCUGGUAAGGUCUAAAACAGUGAAUACAGACCGCAGACAAUACCAACUGAAUGAUACGUCUAGCAAGGUCUAAAAUAGUGAAGACCGUGAAUACAGUGGAUACAGACCCCAGACAGCAUCAAAUGAAUGAUGCGUCUAGUAAGGUCAAAACAGUGAAAACAGACCCCAGAAUUGCUGGCAAAAUACCGUUACCUUAAGGCCAAUGAAUUAUAAGGUAACUCGGGAUACUCGUAACCAUACUGACUAGAAUACCAGACGCCCUACAAGCGUCUAAAAUAUGACAUUUGUCACCCGUUGGCUUGGUAGGCCGGGACUGUAGCUAGCAGUCUGGGUGCGGGGUUGUCAAUCCCGUAUAGAUCUAUACACACAAUGUCCGCUCUCCCUAAAGGAGAUUCUGGUUACCAACUAGACGACGGAGAAGGCCGUGUCCUGAAGAUGCAUCCCAAAUAGUGGGUAGGGACUUCCAAAUAGUGGGUAGUGUGUUUCUAAUGUAAGUGCUGAACUAAAUGUAGAGACUCUUAACUGAACUGACUAGAGCAUACCUGUACGUCCAUACUCGUAUACAUAAUAUAUAACUAAUGAAUCAAACGACCUUCGGACGGCCAUUCGAUCCCACCAGACCACAUCUCAACGAAGAAAAGGAUAUAGGGCGGACAAGCCUUCCUAAGUCCUUCAAUUCAUUACUUAUAUGCAUCUAAACAAGCAUAGACAUACAUCUAACUAUAACUGAGUGUGUAACAAGUAGGAGUGAUUCUUGUGAAGUAGGAGUGUCUAACGAGUGAAGUAAGAGCGUUCAACAAGUGAAGUAGGAGCGUAUGAAGUAUAAGUGAAGUAGAAGCGAUAUCAAGUAUAAGUGAAGUAAGAGCGAUAUCAAGUAUAAGUGAAGUAGGAGCGAUAUCAAGUAUAAGUGAAGUAGGAACGUAUCACUAAGUAAGAGUGUGAACAAGUAUAAGCAUCCAUCAGGUAUGAAUGUAUCACGAAGUGGAAAUGUUAUCAAGUAUAAGUGUAUCUCGAAGUUGAAACAUUAUUGAGUAGAAGUGUAUCUCGAAGUGGAAACUUUAUCGAGUAGAAGUAUAAAACAUAGACGUAAACUUUGGAAAACCUUUAUCUUUUAAGAAAAUCACGACUUGGUAUACCCUUGUGAAACAAGUAUGAUUUAAAACUUUUAGAAAUUCUUUGGAAACCUUUCAUAAAUUAGUUUGAAAUGAAACUUUGAUAAAACAGCAAAAGUAAGAACUUGAACAAGUGAAAACCUUUUAGAAAACCAUUUAUAGUGUCCUACUCGGUAAAAUAGUAUACAGUGUGGUAAAUCCUUGUGCAUGCGGGUUAUCAAUCACAUGUGAUUGAUAUGAUAACUGGCAUGUUUAACUUGUAUUCCCCCCUAUAAAACAUGUAAAAACAUUAAAAGGUUCAUUCAGGGGUAUGAACUCACCUGGUGUAAGUAGGUCCGACGAGGGUGCCGGUUGGGUGGUCGGUGUCACGUAAAGACUCGAACACACUCAAUGACCUAUUUAACAUAUGAUAACAUAUGUUCACAUACAAUUAGUAUAUUUAAUACUAAUUAAACAAGUAUACGCGCUCAAAGGAGCGGAAAGCACUUUGAUUAAGUGUUUGGGGUGUCCCGGGUAGUGUCUAAAGGUGUGUAUGGCUUAGGAAUGGAGUUUACUCUCCGAGAGUAAACCCUUAAUAUGUUGUUUACGGCCCAGGGACUACUCACCAUGAGUUUAUGGCCGGAAACUCAUGGUGAAGGGUUCUAGUGUGUUUAAGGCUUCUAGCUUGCUCAUGGAAUUAUUCUAAGUCCAAAACUAUAUAGUGUGAAUGAGUUUAAGGUCUUUCAGGGCUCCAUUAGGGAGUUUAUGGCCCAGGGACAACUCCUAAGGGAGUUUACAGCCGUAAACUCCUAUGCCUUUAGUUAAGUAAAGUUUUAAGCCCCUAAUACCCUCCUAGCAAUUUAUAGAAAUAGUCUAAGGCCAUUUGGGGGGCAAAAACCACAUUUUUGGCUUGGUUUGGGGAGUUUACGACCUUGACACAUGUCUGGGCCAUAAACUCCUUUUAAUCCUCCAAAUCCUUAUGUUUAAAUGAUCUAAACCCAAGAGGACAAGCCCUUAAUUUAUGUGUUAAGCCCUAGGGUGAUUUAGGAGUGUUUUUGGGACAUUUAGACAAGGUUUAGAGGUGUUUACGGCCUUGGCAUACGCCUGGGCCGUAAAGUCCCUUUUAUGUCCCAUUUUGAUUGUUUUAAAUGAUCAAACACUCCUAGGCUAAAUCCUCAAUUUAUUUCCAAGCCAUUAGGGACAAGUUUGAGUCAUUUUGGCCUUGAUUAAGGGGUUUACGGCCUAAGGAGGAGCUUAGGCUGUAAACUCCUCUUUCACAACUUCUAUGUCCGAAUUCUAAGCUAUAAACAUGAAUCAAUAUGUUUAGAACAAGCUAGGAUAAGCGGACUUACGAUUUGGAAGCGUUUGGUUGUGGAUUCGGGUCGAAAACGAGUAUAGUGAGAGAGUAUAGAGAGAGAGGGUGGAAAAGAGCUCAAAUGGAGUUUACUCCCCCUUAUAUAUGGGUGGGAGUUGGAGCUCAGUGGAAUUCUACCCAAUACUGCCGUUAUGCGGGGCUUUUGGUCGCACCCUAUUUAGUGGUCGCAAUAAUAAAAACUAACUUUUCCAACUAAAUGGAAAUGUGUGUUAUGUGUUUUUAUUUCCUUUAUCACGACUUAAUGACAUAAAGAUAUAAAUAAAUGAAAUGUUUAUUUAAUUGACGACCUCUAAUUAACGGAACUUUUAUAAACUGGAAUAUUCCGUUAACGGUAGCGGAACAAUUUGGGUUGUCACAUCAUCCCCCCGUUAAAGGGAAUUUCGUCCCGAAAUUCAGGUCUAGGCAAGGGAGUAGGUAUGAAUGGCCAAGUAGAGGUAAGGGAGUACUUCCUAUACGGUUGUCCUCGCAUUCCCAAGUGAUCUCUGGUCUGUGUUUGUCAUUCCAACAGACCUCACAUACGGGAUGCGGAUUCCGUCUCGUGUAGCUAGUGUGUUCCAACUAGUGUAUCUACAAGGUUAGGGUUCUCAAUGGAUUCUAUCAAGAUGAGUGAGGCACGAAGAGUGUUGUUGGGAAAUCACAUAUCAAGUCUAAGGAGUGGAUCGAUCGGGUGUGAAUCUUGUGGUAUAUCCGAAAGUAGUAGCGGCCUGAAAAGGGUUGGACCAUGUCUCCAUGAGGAUUCUCGGAUGGUCCUAGGCUCUCGGAAGGGUAGAGCCUUUCAGUACUUAGAACAUAGUGUACUUCUAUGGCAAGAUCGUCACUGGCGCGACCGGCACUCCGAAGUUCCUAACGUUCUCUCCCGUACUGGUAGUGUAGUCCUUCAGGUUGGUUCUUAGAAAGCUCGGGUGGUCUUUGGUUUCGCGUUUCCUAUCAACUGGUCAGAGACAUUCUAGAUCAUCGGAUGGGUUGCGUGACUAUGGUUAUCUGUUUGCUGUAGAGUGUCUAUCUCAAGCUUGUGCAAAGUGGACCUGCACUAACGAAUCUUGAGUCACGGAAACCCUGAGGGUCGGGGAGAUAGGGUUUCACCAGACGAGUGUUGGACUAUCUCAGGAGGUGGUUCUACUAUUUUUGGAUGAGAUAGUAUUUGUGGAAUCCCUAAUAGUCCAAUGAAUCUCUAAGCCUUUGGUUUAUUCUAGCGUGGAAAGUGCAUGCUCCUGUAUAACCCUUCAACUAACACCAGGACUGGUGUCAAGUCUAUAACCUCUUCGGGAUCUGGGUCAUGAGGCUUAACGCAACUACUUUCGCACUUUGAUCCAGUAUUCUUGGUUGCGAAGGUUAUCCUGUGGUUCUCGGUAUCCUAGUGUUCACUUCGGAGAAUGUAUUUUAUCGUCUAUAGGGCGACGACGGUUUCCUCCAUGCGAGAGGGUGGAGGACGAUAGGCACUGUUCGUCUAUAACAGGGUGGACGAAGUGCCUGAGUAGUGCGAGCAUCUACUGCAAAUACUAUUCCGAAGGUUCUGAGUUUCCUCGGUCUAGGUCAAAUCUAGUGAGUAUAGGGUUCCAUUACUCGGAACUUUAAUCUCCUCAUCCAUUCUUCUCGGAGUUUAACUCAUCGCAGCUUUAGGAUUACUGGAAUAUCCGCUGCGAUGCUUAAAUCGGGGGAUUGAGCGUGAAUGGAUGGUCGUAGUCAAUGUCCUUGACUCUUACGACUCGGAUUUCUUUACCAACCGAGGAUGUUAGCUACUAUGUUGGCUCAAACGGAAUGACAACAACUUUGGAUUUGUGGUCAUUAUAGUAACUCAAUCCGUAGGGGUUUUCUUGAAUUUAGCUCCCGUUCCAUGGGAUAGGAUGAAGGGUCUUUCUAGGGAAUCUACUAGGUAUGCUCCGGGUGGUUAUCAUCUUCUGGAGUAUCUGUAGUGUCGUUCAUUUCGGUGUCCAUCUGACUACGAGGGGUCGGUCAACAGCGUACGGUACCCUCUCUUGGGUACUUCAGAAGGUUUGAGAUAAGAGGGACGAUUGACGGAUCGCAUUAGGGUUGAUUAUUUGUGUUAGGUUUAGAUUCGGGAGAACCUUUGUUUGCCGACAUGGCUACGGAGAGAGUUCUUUUGACACAUCACUAGGGAUGAACACAUGGUUGCACGAAGUCAAACCAUGAUCAAUAAAGUUGUCGAAGUUGGCACACUCCGACAUGAUAUAUAAUGAAGAUCGGUAGAGUCAUGUGCUGAACAGGCACACAAGUUCUAGGCGUCUCGGGUUUCGUCAUGUGUAUCACUACCGCUGAUACCUGGACCGAUAGAGUCGACGCGGAUCUAUAGAGAGUUCUAAGUGUUUCCGAAUAGAGUACCUUUUCAUGAAUGGAUUCUCAUGAGGCAUUUCUAUAAUCGCCUAACAUAUACUAUUCAUGUAUAUUUAAGGUGGGGAGGACUGUUGACUGAGCGACUCCGCCCUAAAUCCACAACCAAACGAGGAACAGGAAAUGAGGCGGCCUUCACUCACUCUAGGUCUUUCCAUCUUAACUAUACAUGGCCGUAAUGUAUAUGGUUAGCCAUUAUAGUUUUACCUGAUGAAUUUUAAAUUUUAUAACAAUGCUAUGACUUUCGCCUUAAUGGGAAAUUUACAUUUUGAAUUAAUCUUUUAUUGUUUUUAAUUUAGUUAGCCGAGAUCGAGAGACGUACCAAAAAUCUACUGAGUUACCUUUAUACUGAGAAAGGUUUCACUCUCCAGCCUGGAGAGAUUUGAGAACAGUUCGGAACGAAGACCGCAGAAGGAAAGGCUCAUGGAGGCUUAUGGCUAAACAACCUCAACAGAGGUGCUGGGAUCCGCUCUAAUCGUGUAACUGGCAACGGGAAACGACGAUUUACCUAACACAUAGCAUGAGUAGUGUAACCACUAACUCACUAAAUUGUAUUAUUUUAAGGGUGUAUUAGCGUGACGAACACAAGGGAAAGGACAACUCUCGGGUCCCAUGUACUGGCUCCCUUGGUCUGCCUCGUAUCUUUGACUGGAAUCGGCGUUGGUUUCCUUCGGGUAGUUACCUAGGGUUCUCUCCUCGUAUGGACAUAUUGAAUUUCUACUCCGUCUUCCUUCUGAUUCCGACUCUGGGUGUCAUCACUUCAUGCUGGAUGACUGGGAAUCUCUGAAGUUUAGGCGAAUUUCUCACCGAUGUCCCUAAAAGAUAUGGGCACUUGGUGAAUUCAACAGUCUCGACCUAGUUCAUUCGUUUCCUAGCUGGAAAUCUUCUCGAUGAACUUCUUCGGGGUCGGACUCAACUCUUCUGUUAAGCACUGAAGUGGGUAGGGUUUUCUACAGGGUUCGUGCGAGAAUGGAAAUGUCUAAAGAAUCCUAAGAGAUUAUUAACAUUUCACUGGAUGAUCCAUAUCGAGUCCUGCUACGAUUACACAGGGUAUACAAAUCAUAUAUAAAUUAGAACCGAUAGGCCUUCGAAUAUGUGAUACUACUCUAGAGCCACAUCCUAACGAGGAAAAGGAAAUAGAGCGAAACCACACAUUCUUAGCCUAUGGGAUCCUUAUUAUAUAUAACCUUGGGAGUAUACCCUCUGUAGUUGUAGGUAUAUCAAUAAGGAUCUUUUUAGUUAUUCACGCAAGGUUGUUUAUGUGUCCUAAAAUACCCCUAUGGUAUUUUAAUUUCUUGUUUAGUUCUUAUCUUCUGAAUGUGAUUCUGGGAUUAGUGUGAAUCUUUUAGUGUUCUAAAAUACUCCUAUAGUAUUUUAACUUUAUGUUUGGCUCUAGCAUCCCUAGUUGGUAAGUUUCAGACCUGUUGUACACCACUAUCACUCCCAAGCACAUGUUCAUCGCAUCUUGGAUAAAUGUAGUUGAUCAGGUUACAUUUAUCCCAGCUUACGAUUACAUAACUGCCCAGGUUUGACGGUAAUGCUCAACAUCCGAAGACUUUUAUUCUUGUUCUUCUUGUGAUACUUUUGUUCGAGUGUUUAGAUUCUGGAUGUUAUUAUACUUUGGUAAAAUAUGGUUAUAUUUUAAAGUAUAAUUCUUGGUCAGAGUGUUUUAUCCCUUUGUGUUUAUAGGUUGUAUAUCUUUUAUGAAUUGAUAUACUUAGCUCACUAUAGACAAUGCUCUGAUACCAAUCUGUCACACCCCAAAACCGGAACGGCGGAAAGGUUCUGGGGUGGAUGACGUCAUGUCAAGUAUCACAACACAUGCAUUAUAGUAAUCAAAGUACAACAAAACAUUGCAUUAAUAGUAAUAAUUUUACAUGGUUUACAUUACAAUAUAUCAAAGUAAUACAGGCAAAUGUAAUAAGCACAACAAGGUACUAAGCCAUCUUCAUCAACAGCUAUGGGGGUGUACCUGUCUAAUUGCUGACCUGAGAAUACAAGUUAUUUGAAAAGCGAGUAUCAGCAUUUUUACAAAUGUUGGUGAGUUCAUAAGUAUUUAGUGUCAUUUAGUCAAAUAACAUUAUGAAGUAAUAGUUUAAGUGUUUACAGUGCAUUAGAAUUCUUUCCAGAAAAUCCUAUAUUUUCUUUAAUAAAAGCAGCCUUCUACCAAGACUGGUCAGUGUUAUGUGGUAAAAAGUAGUUUUCCCUAAAUUGCUGUCAUUAUCAAAAUACUGAAUUUGGUUAUUGACGAAAGCAAAUGACAUCAGGGAAUAACAUAUUCCUCAGCAAUGAGGACUGCUGACUAAGGCAAGGAAUCAUAGACUCCAGGAGAGUAUCGAACUAAC